GGAUGGGUCUGCGGCCGAUUAGGUAGUUGGUUAGGUAAUGGCUUACCCAAGCCGUUGAUCGGUACGGGGUUGUGAGAGCAAGAGCCCGGAGAUGGAACCUGAGACAAGGUUCCAGGCCCUACGGGGUGCAGCAGGCGCGAAACCUCCGCAAUGUGAGAAAUCGCGACGGGGGGAUCCCAAGUGCCAUUCUUAACGGGAUGGCUUUUCAUUAGUGUAAAGAGCUUUUGGAAUAAGGGCUGGGCAAGACCGGUGCCAGCCGCCGCGGUAACACCGGCAGCUCUAGUGGUAGCAGUUUUUAUUGGGCCUAAAGCGUCCGUAGCCGGUUUAAUAAGUCUCUGGUGAAAUCCUGUAGCUUAACUGUGGGAAUUGCUGGAGAUACUAUUAGACUUGAGACCGGGAGAGGUUAGAGGUACUCCCAGGGUAGAGGUGAAAUUCUGUAAUCCUGGGAGGACCGCCUGUUGCGAAGGCGUCUAACUGGAACGGUUCUGACGGUGAGGGACGAAAGUUAGGGGCGCGAACCGGAUUAGAUACCCGGGUAGUCCUAACUGUAAACGAUGCGGACUUGGUGUUGGGAUGGCUUUGAGCUGCUCCAGUGCCGAAGGGAAGCUGUUAAGUCCGCCGCCUGGGAAGUACGGUCGCAAGACUGAAACUUAA
rnacentral:rRNA from 1 species